rnacentral:rRNA from 1 species
UACGGGGGGGGCAAGCGUUGUUCGGAAUUACUGGGCGUAAAGGGCUCGUAGGCGGCCAACUAAGUCAGACGUGAAAUCCCUCGGCUUAACCGGGGAACUGCGUCUGAUACUGGAUGGCUUGAGAUUGGGAGAGGGAUGCAGAAUUCCAGGUGUAGCGGUGAAAUGCGCAGAUAUCAGGAAGAACACCCGUGGCGAAGGCGGCUCUCUGGGACGGUACUGACGCUGAGGCGCGAAAGCGUGGGGAGCAAACAGG